rnacentral:rRNA from 1 species
UACGUAGGGACCAAGCGUUGUUCGGAUUUACUGGGCGUAAAGGGCGCGUAGGCGGCGUGACAAGUCACUUGUGAAAUCUCUGGGCUUAACCCAGAACGGCCAAGUGAAACUGUCGUGCUAGAGUGCGGAAGGGGCAAUCGGAAUUCUCGGUGUAGCGGUGAAAUGCGUAGAUAUCGAGAGGAACACCUGAGGUGAAGACGGGUUGCUGGGCCGACACUGACGCUGAGUGCGCGAAAGCCAGGGGAGCAAACGGG